UACGAGUGGUGCUAGCGUUAUCCGGAAUCAUUGGGCGUAAAGGGUGCGUAGGCGGUCUGGUUAGUCUCUUGUUAAAGCUCCCGGCUUAACCGGGAAAGUGCAAGAGAAACGGCCAGACUCAGAGGAUGUGAGAGGUGUGCGGAACUCAUGGUGUAGGGGUGAAAUCCGUUGAUAUCAUGGGGAACACCAAAUGCGAAGGCAGCACACUGGCACAUACCUGACGCUGAGGCACGAAAGCGUGGGUAGCGAACGGG
rnacentral:rRNA from 1 species